CACACACGCCCGCCCCGGCAAUGUUGUAGCCCAGGGGGCUUUUCCACCCUGGGGCCCAUAGCUAACUGGGCCAUGGCUGCUGGCCCACGGACUUCUCAGACCUUCUGGUCUCAUUCUUGCUUUCUUUUUUUUUUUUUUCCUGAGGCACAGAAAUGUUUCCUUAAAAGGCCUCCUGUCUCUCUUCUCUCCAGCACCCUGGCCCCUAGCCACCCUCUCAGGAGCCCAGAAUGUGCCAGGAGAACCAGGAGCCGUACCACCCCAUGGCCUGUGCUCAAGAGCCCCACACUCCAGUCCGCCAUCAGCAGUGGCUGACUCCCCUGACUGGAGGACUUACAAGCUCUGGGCUGUCUUCAAGGGCUCUGAUGACAGCCCUGCUGUGACCUCCUCACCUUCAGGCGAGGCACCCAGGAUUCCAGACACAGGUAGUCAGUCUCAGUAAAAUACACGUAACAUAUAAAGUUCCACCUUGGGGGCUAGAGAUGGGCUCAGCGGUAGAACUCUUGACUGGAAUAUACAAGAGGCUGGAUUCAGUACCCAGUACCACGAUGAUGAUGACGAUGACUGUGGCAGCAGCGGUGGUGGCGGUGGCUGUGGAUUUUUUAAAGUUUUUAAAAUAAAAAAGUAUCAUUUAAUCAUUUCUAAAUAUACAAAUAGGUGAAUUUGAAUAUAUCCACAAUGAUAUACUAGCCACUACCUACUUCCAGAACUUUUUCAUCAUCUAACACACCACCCACACUGAAUAAUGAGUCUCCUCUUCCCCUCCCCAUUCCAUAACAUCUUAACUUCUGCUGCCUACCCUAGAGACCUCUUGAGGUCUGAUAAUAGAUACAUAGCGGAGAUGGGGAGGUUGACCAAGACAGAUCCCACGAAUCAAGAUUUCUAUCCCACCAAGGCAGGCCACACAAACUCUGGUCUUCCAGGACCCUCUAUCCUGAAGCUGGACACAGAACAUCUGACCCUUCCCUUGUGCCUCAGUGGGACACGGGACCCUCUUCAUUACAAAGAAAGGAAUGAUGCCCAGAAAGGCCAAGAAGAAUAUUGACAAAGGCUCCCUCACUCCCCAACUGCUCACCCUGUAUACCUCAUCACCUGAAUCCUUCAUCAAAUUCCUCCUGAUACACAAUAAACCACGCCUCCUACAUCUACUGGGCAGGCCACUACAGCAAAUUGGUGGCACCCAAAGCAGGGGCACAUGAAUCUCAGUUUGACACCCACUUGGUCAGAAGCACAAAGACACCCUGGAGUUUGGAACUGAGAUCUAUAGGACAGAGGGCAGUCCUGGGGACCAAGUACCCAACCUAUGGAGCCUGUCAUGUGUCUAGUUUGAUAUUGGGCUAAACUGGGCUGGAGGUCACCUGCAAGUGUCACCACUGCAGAGCUGUUUGCUGCUGGGGAGAGGACCCACAUACAUAUCCCAGAAGCCACAGAAAGUCUUGUGCUAUCUGGUGAGACAGGACAUCUGUGUUUGGCUGACAGCAUAUUCAUGAAAGGCCAAGCGCAUGCUUGCCUUUUUUGUGUCUAGGCUGAUUCCACCUCAUGCUAUAGCUGAAUGGCUCCCCAAGUUGGCAUGUGAAAAUCCAAACCAGUCCCUUGAAAUGUGCCCAGUGACGGGUCCUUAAAGAGGUAACUAAGUAAGUCCGCUGAGGUGAGUCUUGACUCAGUUCAGCCUCUUAUACUGACAGGAAGAUAUCCAAACACAGACCAAGGAGGGAGACCCCGUUAGGACACAAGGUGAAGGAGGUGCCCACAUACCAAGGAACCAGGCCACAGAAGACAAGUGCUGUGCUGAUCCUGAUUGCAGAACCCAGCCUGGAAGCCAUGAGAGCAAAUUUCAUGACCCCCAAACCCACAUUUCUAAGAUCCACCAAGGUUCAAGGUAAAAGUUAAAAGCUGUCCCACUGUGUACGGAUCUGUUCACUACUUGAUGGAUCCACACGGGUCGUUUCCAGAGAAGUGUUAAUGGUGACUCACACCUCUGUCCAACAUAUCCAGAUACCCACACCAGCGACACCAAAUGGUACAUGGGACACAGGGACAGUGGGGUUUAUAAAGCACCUACUGUGUGUCACUGGGUUGGGCACUUCAUAGCCGCUCAUAUUUUCACUUCCAGACCAGUUGUUAAAGUAAAUAAGGCUCACAGAAGUUAAGCUACUUGGUCAAAGUCAAACAUCUGGCAACAGUAGUGGGGCAGCAAUGGCCAGGAGGGCACCUAGGUUUCUGCCCAUCAAGCUCUAGUCUAACAUGUGGUCUCUCUUUCCCCCGCUCCAUACCUAGCAAGGUGAGCAUGAGUACAUUAUCUCCCAGGGUCUCAGGUCACUUCCCAACACCUCCCUUGCUUCAGGCUGCCCCAAACACCUCCCUUUCCUGCCCAUUCUCUGCCCUGUGCCUGAAUGUCAAUCACACUGAGGAAACCAUGCUGGAGCUGCAGGACGCUGAGACUGUGGACAUCCCAAGGAGGAUAGUGAGCCCCGCACCGCACCGAGGAGGUUCACUUCAGUCUCUCCGACGUGGAGGCAGGGAUGUGUGGCUUGUUAAAAGAGCUAACAGGUCUCCCCUUUAGCUGGAUCCCAGGCUGGGUGAGGGGAAGAUGAACUGACCAAGGGACACCAAGGUGGGGAGAAAAGGGGAGGGACACUCUUUCCAUGCUUGACAUGGGCAGCUGUGAGUGAUCAAGAAAAGAGGACAGACUUGGCUGCUGGCCCUGAGGAAUCACUGAAGGUUCUUGAGUAGAGGAAGGACAAGCAGAAGCUAUGCUCCAGGCAGAGAAGUCCUGGAGUGGGGGAAGGAGGGAUGGAAGAGUGCAGAACUUAGGGCAAGCAUGGUGGUGCAAUAUCCAUACCAAGAGCAACCAGAAAAAGGGAGGAGCCUGAAGCCCAGGGCUAGGGGAACAUUGGAUACCCUCAAAAUCUAGGGGCCCACAAAACACUCUAGCCCAGAGCUUCCAGCCUAGCCUCUACACCUUCCAUUCCCAAGCAGAGACGCCAUCCACCACUCUGUCUUCCGGCACCUUUUAUACCAAGAGGCAGCCAGUAUCUUAGCUCUGGUCACCAAGUGUCACCACAUGGUGGCCCCAGAAAAGUAAAGUGUCCGCCCCUGCAACUGAGGAAACAACUAAAUGGAGCCUCAUCUGUGGGUUCAUCAUCAAUGCGCUGGGACAAUCAAGACCCCAGAGAAGUCACCCUGUGUUGUCCUGGAAGCCUAGGUGUCCCUCGGAACUUGUAGGUGUCAAGACCAUGGGGUUGAGGCCCAGAAGAAAGACAAGACUGUUCGAAGAGUGCCAGCAGGGCUCAAGGUCACUCAAGGCCUCCCAAGAUGAGCAUCAUGCCCUAGGCAGGAAGUCCUGAGGGGCAGGUAAGCACUGCCCUGGCUCUACGGCCUCUGGGUCUAUACAAACCCUGCAGGGGACAGUUCCUCUCUGUUCUCAGCCAGCCAAGGCUCUUUCCUUCCCUUAUAUAGAGUUCAACUAUGACAGAAAACGAAGUGUACCAAGUUUCUUCAUGCUCCGAGGCAAGAAGAGGCCUGUUCCCAGGGACGCCUUGGGCCGGACAGACGGCCCCUGCCCUGGAUCCCUCUGCUCCAGUGAUGACAGAGACUUGGAGGGUCCUGCUCUUCCUACAAACACAACCCAGACUAGACUCAGAACUUGAAGACAGUGCUGUGUCAGAUCACUGAUUCAGAACACUGAACCCAAGACCCCAAGACCUCAGCACUACUUCACUAUGCCCCAAGUUCCUCCUCUGACUUGGGUCCUCUUCUGUGGCACCUGUCAUUGUCUGCCUGGCCCACGGCCGGGUCCUACGCAUUGGUCGGAUGGGCUAUUAGAGCGGGGAAAUCACUCUCCUGGCAGAUCCCUCCAACCCCACAUAUGGGAGUGGCUCUCACACCAAACACAAUGCAACUCACUCAUCAAACAGCCUGCCUGCAGCCAGAUGAGAUGACCGGUAUGCCCGAGCCUCUGGAAACCUAUGGAAUGCAGCAUUCAGAGCAACCCUCAGUCAGAAGGUCCCCCAAACAGCUAAGGAGUGGGGGAAGCAGACAAGCUAUGAUCAAGCAGGCUGCAUCGCUGAAGCUGAUUGCCUUCUGUGCCUGGAAGAUGGCACGCACAGUGAUUCUCAACCUUCCUAGUGCACUGAUCCUUUGUUGUGACUCAUGUUGUGGUGACCCCAACCAUAAAAUUACUUUUAUUGCUACUUCAUAACUCUAAGUUUGCUACUGUUAUGAAACGUGAUGUAAAGAUCUGAUAAAUGACCCCAAAGUGAGCCGUGCCCUACAGGUUGGGAACUACUACCCCAGAGACUCUAUGGGUUGCACCUAGGGAGCCCAACUCCAAACCCCACAGUGCCAACACAAUGGUCAUGCUUGCUGAUCCUCGUAGUUAGGGAAGCCAGGAAAAGAACAAGGUUACCCACUAGGGUGCAACUGAACCUGGGAGCAAUAGAAUCUGAGCUCUGAGCACAUGCCUGGUGCUCAACACCCAGGGUCAGAAGAGCAAGAGGCAGACAAUGGCCAGGAAACAUGGGAUGGGGAAAGAGAACACAGAAGAGAACAUGGCCGGACUUGACACCAGCCACUGUCACCCUCCUCUGGGCCACCCAACAUGGUUCAAGCCAAAAUCUGUGCAUCCCCCUUUUCUCAUCCUAUCCCUUAUUCCCCAAGCCUGGCAGUCUCUCUCCCAAGCCACCACUGCAGUGCCCUGAGUCAAAGACAUGGUGACAUUAACCUGUCCCAGGACCUCCUCUCUUGCCCUUGGUCUCUUCUUGGAAAUCAGGAAGCCAUUUCUAAAAUGUGCCUGAGCCAUGUUACUCCUCAGUCUAAAGGCCUGGCCACCUUAAGUGCAAGGAUCCAGUCUAAAUGUCCCAACACAGCUGCCACGGUCUAUGGGGACCUGUGGGGUCACUCCUACAGGCCCACUUCUCGACCUUCCCUCCAAACCCCUAUACCAUUUCCUGCCCAUCUAUUCCAAAUUCUAUCCUCUGUUGGAGAGCUUCUCGGCCACUUCACAGACAAAGAAAAGCAUGGCACCGAGAAGCCACAUCUGCAGCCUAAGGUCACACAGCAUCAAAGGGCAAGCAUGGAAGCAUAGCUCUGCCCCAGGAGGCCUCAAGACAGACUCCAUUCCUCCCAGUAAGACCAACAGGGAGCCUUCCACAGAGGCCAUGGCUUCUGAGGCUAGGGAGAGGACAGCAAACUGGGCUGAGCAAUGUGUAGCCAGAUGUGCUCAGAUGAAGCAAAUAAAUGCCCAGGCUCUGCAGGAGCCUCAUAGCUCCAAAGCCAGUAGGAGAGCGAGAGGGCAAGAGUGGGGCGGGGCUGGCAGCCAGGAGGCCUUCCUGAAGGAGGCAGCUGCACUGAGUGAGGUGAGAAGGCUCUGAAAGGGGACAGAAGACAGUGUGAAGAGGGUACUUAAAGGGGACACAAGGGGGUACUUAAAAGAGAAGAUGGCAAAAGGCGGGCCUGUUAGCACAGGCCUGGAAUCCCAGCUAUGUGGGAGACUGCAGCCCAAGGACUGAAGUCUCAAGGCUGUCUCAGCAGCAUGCUGGUGAGGUAGCGCUGUUAUAGAGUGCUCACAUAACUUGUACAAAAGUAUAGCCCAAGAGGCUUCUGGGAAAUCUGCCACCUGAUGCAGGAGCCCGGCCUCUGUCCUGAGUGCAGGGGCUGAACCCACUUCCACGAAGUCUCUGAAAUACAGAGAACAGGAAAACCUCAAUCCCUCUGGGGCCAGGCAUUUGUUGCAGGGGUAGGGGGUACAGCCCAUGGCACACAGGUGACUUCCAGGAAGUUCCUUGACUUCCAGGAAGUUCCUAGAAGCUGGGCCAGGGACAGGCUAUGGGCUUGGUCAAUGUUUGGUAAGGGGGGAGGGGGCAGAGGAAGUGACAGG